rnacentral:rRNA from 1 species
CGGCAAUGGAGGAAACUCUGACCGAGCAACGCCGCGUGAACGAUGAAGUAUUUCGGUACGUAAGGUUCUUUUAUUAGGGAAGAAUAAAUGAUGGAAAAAUCAUUCUGACGGUACCUAAUGAAUAAGCCCCGGCUAACUAUGUGCCAGCAGCCGCGGUAAUACAUAGGGGGCAAGCGUUAUCCGGAAUUACUGGGCGUAAAGGGUGCGUAGGCGGUUAAAUAAGUUUAUGGUCUAAGUGCAAUGCUUAACAUUGUGAUGCUAUAAAAACUGUUUAACUAGAGUAAGAUAGAGGCAAGUGGAAUUCCAUGUGUAGUGGUAAAAUGCGUAAAUAUAUGGAGGAACACCAGUAGUGAAGGCGGCUUGCUGGGUCUUUACUGACGCUGAGGCACGAAAGCGUGGGGAGCAAACAGGAUUAGAUACCCUGGUAGUCCACGCCGUAAACGAUGAGUACUAAAUGUUGGGUAAAACCAGUGUUGAAGUUAACACAUUAAGUACUCCGCCUGAGUAGUACGUACGCAAGUAUGAAACUUAAAGGAAUUGACGGGACUCCGCACAAGCGGUGGAUCAUGUUGUUUAAUUCGAAGGUACCCGAAAAACCUCACCAGGUCUUGACAUGCUUCUGCAAAGCUGUAGAAACACAGUGGAGGUUAUCAGUUGCACAGGUGGUGCAUGGUUGUCGUCAGCUCGUGUCGUGAGAUGUUGGGUUAAGUCCCGCAACGAGCGCAACCCUUAUUGUUAGUUGCCAGCACGUAAUGGUGGGGACUUUAGCAAGACUGCCAGUGAUAAAUUGGAGGAAGGUGGGGACGACGUCAAAUCAUCAUGCCCCUUAUGACCUGGGCUACAAACGUGAUACAAUGGCUGUUACAAAGAGUACUGAA